UAGGGAAUCUUCCGCAAUGGACGCAAGUCUGACGGAGCAACGCCGCGUGAGUGAAGAAGGAUUUCGGUUCGUAAAACUCUGUUGUUAGAGAAGAACAGCGCAUAGAGUAACUGUUAUGCGUGUGACGGUAUCUAACCAGAAAGCCACGGCUAACUACGUGCCAGCAGCCGCGGUAAUACGUAGGUGGCAAGCGUUGUCCGGAUUUAUUGGGCGUAAAGCGAGCGCAGGCGGUCAAGUAAGUCUGAUGUGAAAGCCACCGGCUCAACCGGGGAAGGUCAUUGGAAACUGGUUGACUUGAGUGCAGAAGAGGAGAGUGGAAGUCCAUGUGAAGCGGUGAAAUGCGUAGAUAUAUGAAGGAACACCGGUGGCGAAGGCGACUCUCUGGUCUGUAACUGACGCUGAGGCUCGAAAGCGUGGGUAGCAAACAGG
rnacentral:rRNA from 1 species